GGUCAUUUAGAGGAAGUAAAAGUCGUAACAAGGUCUCCGUUGGUGAACCAGCGGAGGGAUCAUU
rnacentral:rRNA from 2 species